rnacentral:rRNA from 1 species
GCGGUCUAUACAUCAGUCGNUCGGACAGAUGGGAGCUUGCUCCCUGAUGUUAGCGGCGGACGGGUGAGUAACACGUGGGUACCUGCCUGUAAGACUGGGAUAACUCCGGGAAACCGGGGCUAAUACCGGAUGGUUGUUUGAACCGCAUGGUUCAAACAUAAAAGGUGGCUUCGGCUACCACUUACAGAUGGACCCGCGGCGCAUUAGCUAGUUGGUGAGGUAACGGCUCACCAAGGCAACGAUGCGUAGCCGACCUGAGAGGGUGAUCGGCCACACUGGGACUGAGACACGGCCCAGACUCCUACGGGAGGCAGCAGUAGGGAAUCUUCCGCAAUGGACGAAAGUCUGACGGAGCAACGCCGCGUGAGUGAUGAAGGUUUUCGGAUCGUAAAGCUCUGUUGUUAGGGAAGAACAAGUACCGUUCGAAUAGGGCGGUACCUUGACGGUACCUAACCAGAAAGCCACGGCUAACUACGUGCCAGCAGCCGCGGUAAUACGUAGGUGGCAAGCGUUGUCCGGAAUUAUUGGGCGUAAGGGCUCGCAGGCGGUUUCUUCAGUCUGAUGUGAAAAGCCCCCGGCUCAACCGGGGAAGGGGUCAUGGGAA